rnacentral:rRNA from 1 species
UACGUAGGGGGCGAGCGUUGUCCGAAUUUACUGGGCGUAAAGCGCGCGUAGGCGGUUUCUUAAGUCUGGGGUGAAAGGUUCAACGCUCAACGUGAACAGUGCCUUGGAUACUGGGAGACUUGAGUCUGGGAGGGGGUAGUGGAAUUCCUGGUGUAGCGGUGAAAUGCGUAGAUAUCAGGAGGAACACCGGUGGCGAAGGCGGCUACCUGGCCUAAGACUGACGCUGAGGUGCGAAAGCGUGGGGAGCGAUCCGG